CGCACCCCAUACUGUAUACACAAACGGAGGGAAGAGAAAUCCUAGCAGUUCUCUUGAUUCCAUUUCACUGUCGAAACGAUACUGGAGCACUUUUUUUGCACAUACCUAAAGGAAAAUCCCAAAUAACGAGCACCUAGCGACUUUGUUUAAGUGCAAUAGAGGAACUGUACGAGACAGUUUGCCCGUACACGGUGCGUUGCGGAGGGAUUUAGAAAUAAAAACCCAGUGUUGUGCAGUUGCAUUCCCUACCACUUCACUUGCGCUGGAUACGGGGAGGCUUUGACUUUUUUCAUCCCAGUUUCUGUCUCAAAACAACCGUAUUCUCGUCUAAAUCUGCUGAAGAACCUGACGGGUAGACCGUCUAUCUGAUGCUGUCUGGUCCAAACCAAGUAUGACAGUGUUUACCCCGGCUAGCAUUGACAGCAAGAGAAGGCAGCGAGCAUCUGGGCUCCAUCGAGCUCAACUGUGAAGGGUCUUGCCCCAUCAACAAGAAAGGGCUUCCCCAGUGAUUUUACCCAUGCACAGUUACUGCAGGCCCUCCUACACCCAGGUGACAGACUACGGGUUCAGGGCAGAAGCCAUCAUCCCACAGAACAUACUAAAGGCCUGGGGAAGUCAUUAGCCACCACACACAACAGGACACUGAUCUUAUCCGGUCCAGUCCAUUCGUCAGUCC
ensembl:lncRNA